UGUGUAGUAUGUAGUGUGUGUGAGUAGGCGUAUUGUGAAUUUUCGUGUAGGAUGGUGUAAUUUGUUUACUUCAAGUGUUUUAAAUUGUGAUCGAACAAUUUCGAAACCUAAAGGUCUAACUGAAAAAGAAAUGAUUGAUGCAUUAUUCGAAACACCAGAAGAUUCUUGUAUCGGAAGUAAUUAGCUGUGAAUUCAUAUCUACUAAAAGAGGAAGACCAAAUAAAGAAAAUAAACAAACUAAUAUAACUGACAGAAAAACCAGAGGUGUUUACAAACGACAUUUCUAGGUGUUAGAUUUGAUGGUAUCAACAUUUUCCUGAUUGGUUUGGGACUAGACAAAAGUGUAAAUACUUAAGACUGCAAAGGUAUAACAUAUGCUAUUUGUAAUAAAUGUAAUAAAUCCUUAUGCUUCACUAAAAGUUCUAACUGUUUUAAAAAAGUACCUUACUAAACAAAUGUAACAAGUAUACUUGGUUAAUAUAAAUUACUGUAAAAAUUGGUAGGUAAAUAAAGUCCAUUGUAAAAAUAAUAACCAUUUAUUUCAAAUCCACAAGACACAUUAGACAAACGUAACCAUUAUACCAUAAUAUAACAUAUACCAUAUAUUGUAUUGUUGACACAGCAUCACUAUCAAAUAAACUCCGCUCAUCAUCGGUUUUUCGUUAGCAAUGAUAUAUUGUUGCUUACAGAUAUACAUUGAAUUCUCUUCUGUAUCCUACCUUCUCAACUUCCGACCUACAGCAGUGGCUGCACCCACAUGCAUAUUAUGGAUAUCCAGUUCAUGAAAUGAAUGAUUUCACUAUGUGGAUGUGACAUAUACAUAUAGUACCAUAUAUUAAGCCUAGAUUAACAGAUUUCAAGUAGUUAUUUUUAAUUUUGAUCAAAUAUAUCACUGAUUCAUUGGAAUUAAUAUUAUCAUGAUAUUAUUAUUACUAGGUACUUAGUUAUAUAUAUAUAUAUAUUAUUAUUUUUUAAUAAAAGGAAAAGAAUAUUUAUGUUUCACACAAAUCUAUUUCUUCUAAUAUCAUAAUAAGAAGAGUUAAAAUUCAAUAACCAAGCGAGGUAUGACUUAUGUUUUUCAACCAGUAUUAAUUUGUCAUUUAGACCUUUAUGUCAUCACGUUUAAAUAAUAACUAACACUUUCUAGAUUCAAAUGUUUUGCCAUAUCAGGCAUAUAUAUAAAAACUAAUUUUUCCUACAUUCAAAUUUCUGAAGAUACCGCUACUGUGGCCUGACAGUAUGUAGGCAAAUAUCUAUAUUUUAGAUCCUUUACAGAUUGGCACAACAUAAUUUGCAAUAUUUGUAGUAUAGCAAAUUUAUGUUAUUUUCUAAUAACUUAAAUUGUGGUUUUUAGAAUGAUAGCAAACUUGUUUAAAUCAUUUUUUUCAGUUUCCAAUUUGAAAUUUGUAAACCUAUUAAGAUAAAAGAUUAAAUUAAAAUUCAAGUACAUAGAAACUUUGGACAUGAUUUCUAUAAAUGAUAUUUAAAUCUAAUAUGAACUUAGUUAUUUUUUAUUUACACAUUGUGACCUUUAAUUGGAAUAAUUAAUUCCUAUGUCUAUUAUUUGUUGAGUUGCUAUUGUAGUACCUAUUUUAAAUCGUACAUACAAAUGAAAGAAUACAACGACAUUGUAAAGUAUUUGUUAUAAAUUUAAAUGUAUUAAAUGUUUUUAUUUUUUUUUUGAGCUGAUUAAGAACAAAAAAUGGCAACAAUUACGUCAACUACUUUCACACCGGGUACCCUAUUAUGGGUAAAUGUGAAUAACAUCUGGUGGCCAGGGAAAGUCGUACACCCAAAAAGUGCACCAAAAAAAACACAGCAUAUCAUGAACCAAAAGCGGCAUCUCGCUGCUAUAGUCUGGUUUGAGACAGACAACAAAUAGUAAGUUUAAAUUAGGAUGCAAUUUUUGUAUUUAGAAUAUUUGUAUCGGUUCCAAUUAAAAUAUACAGGUUGUUCCAUGGAGAUAUACUUAUUUUGUUAUAUCUCUGAGAUAAUAAAGAUGAAAGAAUUUUUUUUUAUUUUGUUAUUCACUGGGAUAAAGACUACAAAAAUUAUAUUCCAAUUAAUUGUAUAUAUUGUGGUAAAAAAUUUAAAAAAUGACUUUUAAAUUCAGAGAAAAGUACCUAUAAUAAAUACCCAGCAGGCUGUAA
rnacentral:lncRNA from 1 species